GACGAACGCUGGCGGCGUGCCUAAUACAUGCAAGUCGAGCGAAGUUUUUCUGGUGCUUGCACUAGAAAAGCUUAGCGGCGAACGGGUGAGUAACACGUAAAGAACCUGCCUCAUAGACUGGGACAACUAUUGGAAACGAUAGCUAAUACCGGAUAACAGUAUUUCUCGCAUGAGAGAUAUUUAAAAGUUGGUUAUGCUAACACUAUGAGAUGGCUUUGCGGUGCAUUAGCUAGUUGGUGGGGUAAAGGCCCACCAAGGCGACGAUGCAUAGCCGACCUGAGAGGGUGAUCGGCCACACUGGGACUGAGACACGGCCCAGACUCCUACGGGAGGCAGCAGUAGGGAAUCUUCCGCAAAGGGCGAAAGCCUGACGGAGCAACGCCGCGUGAGUGAAGAAGGAUUUCGGUUCGUAAAGCUCUGUUGUUAGGGAAGAAUGGAUAUGUAGUAACUAUACAUGUAAGAGACGGUACCUAACCAGAAAGCCACGGCUAACUACGUG
rnacentral:rRNA from 1 species